rnacentral:rRNA from 1 species
AUUGAACGCUGGCGGCAGGCCUAACACAUGCAAGUCGAGCGGAGCGGCGGCCGGGCGAGUAAUACAUCGGAAUCUGACUGGUCGUGGGGGAUAACGUUAGGAAACGGACGCUAAUACAGCAUACUAUCAGCUGAGCCUAGGUCGGAGUAGCUCGUUGGUGAGGUAAGGGCUUACCAAGGCUACGAUCCGUAACUGGUCUGAGAGGAUGAGCAGUCACACUGGAACUGAGACACGGUCCAGACUCCUACGGGAGGCAGCAGGGGGGAAUAUUGGACAAUGGGCGAAAGCCUGAUCCAGCCAUGCCGCGUGUGUGAAGAAGGUCUUCGGAUUGUAAAGCACUGUAAGUUGGGAGGCGUUACCGACAGAAUAAGCACCGGCUAACUCUGUGCCAGCAGCCGCGGUAAUAC